GCAGGCGUAGCCAAGCGGAAUGGCAACCGGCUUUUAACCGGUAUAUCACGGGUUCGAAUCCUGUCGCCUGCA
rnacentral:tRNA from 1 species